UUUUCUCUCUCUCUUUCCUCUCUCUAUUUCCUCCUCUCGACGAACCGGCUUCUUUGUCUUCUCCAUAGCUGAUCGAUCUAAUACUCAGUUGUUUCUGUAAUCAGCGGUGAUGAUUGAUGGCUUCUAACGAUCCAAAAAAUGGCGGAGGUUUCUUCGCCUCUAUUGGUUUAUCCAUCACCAAUUUCGGAUCGGUCAUGUCCAAAUCAGUUUAACGGGUAAUGAAUUCAAAAUCCCCAUAAACAAUUUCUCGUUUUCAGAUCCUCCAUUCUUCAGCUGGGAUGGAUUCACAUGCUUCUUAUGCUGGAAACUAUGGUGGGAUGUUAUAUUAAUUCAUCUGGUUGGGAUUUGAAGGAAUUGUGUGUGAUGUGAUUUGAUUCAACAAAAACAGGCAAGUUACAACAGAGGAAGGGGAUAAUAAAGCUCGUGAGUUUGGUGCUUUGUUCAUGGAGACUAGUGCCAAAGAUGGGUUCAACAUUCAGGGUACACACUAGAUUCUAAUAACAGUUGGUGUGGAGAAACUAUGUUUUCUGUGUUCAUCAUUUCCGUUGCUUUGAUGUUAAAUGGGAACUAAGAGAGAAAUACGCAUUGGCAGCUUGCUGUGCUGGUAAUAUGAUGUUAGUACAUGUGCCCGUCUCAUCCCUGAUAAUCUUGUUCCUUGUUCUGCCUGUUUUAAGUUUGUUAGCUUGUAAUAUUUCAGAGGCUUGCUAGUUUUUUAAGUAUCUUCAUCUGUGUGUUGAUAACUGGAAUUUCAUCACUGCAUAAACGCUUACACUUGAUAUUGGUGUUCUUUGUACUGUUUGUAGUCUCUAGAUGUGUUAAGAGAAUCACAUUUGAUGCUAAGCUCCACUAGUGAAUGAGUUAUUUGCUCAUAAUUACAUUAAAAAUGUAGUUGGGUUGGGUAGCCAAUGAUAUAGGUUUGGUUGUUUUCAAUUUCUGUAAUUUUUUAUUAGAUUGAGAGGUAUAAAGCAGAGAUUAAGAAGCUUCAGAAAUCAGAAGAGAAGAGAAGAGAAACGGUUUGAAGAGAAGAGAAAGCCAAAGAUAUAGUGAAGACAUAUAUAAGUGCAAAGGAAAAAGCUGGCAAGUGAAGAAACGCAUAGACAUUGGCUGAUUACAAACGGAGAAUAUCGUAGCGAAUUGAUGAACGUCUGCUCUUGGAAACUGCAUUGCCUGCAGUGAUCUCACAUUGAUCGAUACAUAUGUUUAAAUUUGUUUUUGUUUGGAUGAGACACACACAACAACAUCUCCAAGUGUAAAUGUCAAGAGAUUUUUAUACUCUAUUGUUUCAAGAAUAGAUUGGCAGGCUAGAUACUGAAUAUUGCAGCUUGUUCAAAUUCUA